rnacentral:rRNA from 1 species
AUUGAACGCUGGCGGCAGGCCUAACACAUGCAAGUCGAACGAGUGGCGGACGGGUGAGUAAUGUCUGGGAAACUGCCUGAUGGAGGGGGAUAACUAGUGGAAACGGUAGCUAAUACCGCAUACCAGCACAUGUUACCAGAAGGGAUUAGCUAGUUGGUGGGGAAACGGCUUACCAAGGCGACGAUCCCUAGCUGGUCUGAGAGGAUGACCAGCCACACUGGAACUGAGACACGGUCCAGACUCCUACGGGAGGCAGCAGUGGGGAAUAUUGCACAAUGGGCGCAAGCCUGAUGCAGCCAUGCCGCGUGUAUGAAGAAGGCCUUCGGGUUGUAAAGUACUGUCAGCGGGGAGGCGUUACCCGCAGAAGAAGCACCGGCUAACUCCGUGCCAGCAGCCGCGGUAAUAC